rnacentral:rRNA from 1 species
AUGACGGUGACCCUCGAGGAUUGGUCGAUGAUUACUGCAAUGCCGCUCGAUGGUCAUGGACUGACCGGGCGAGUGGAGAGGACCAACUGGCAGGAGAGGGUUACCACCCUCAUCGGCGGCUGCGCCGAUGCUAAGGGUAACCGUACAUCCGGUGUGCCGUUGUCAUGGCUCUUGGAGCACCGGAAGACAUGCCCCGAAGACGCCGAUGAGACGACUGUGGAGUGGUACGCGAGGGCCUACCUAUGGUAUCUUCUCACGGAGGUCGUGUUUCCAGACGCAUCCGGGAACUCUGUCAACUGGUACUAUCUGUUAUUCCUAGCCGACUGGGAUGCAGGGUACAGUUGGGGGACCGCGUCUCUCGCCUACCUAUACCGUUCGGUAAGAGAUUAUCUAAUUGCCUACCUACGAAAGUAUGUCCAUGCCAUUUUGUUAUAUCUCACUCUCAUUUGA